GCAUCGGUGGUGCAUGGUGCAUGCUGCCCUAAAGUAACUGUGCUUAGAAUGUCUGAAGGCAGACCGGGGUUCGAUUCCCCGCCGGUGCA